CUACGGGUGGCUCCAGGCGCGAAACCUUUACAAUGCACGCAAGUGUGAUAAGGGAACCCUAAGUGCUCAUGUUUAACAUGGGCUCUUGCCAAAGGUAAAUACUUUGGCGAAUAAGUGGUGGGUAAGACCGGUGCCAGCCGCCGCGGUAACACCGGCGCCACGAGUGGCAAUCAACUUUAUUGGGCCUAAAGCGUCCGUAGCUGGUCUUGUAAGUCUCUUGUGAAAUCGUCAGGCCUAACCUGACGGCGGGCUUGAGAUACUGUAAGACUUGGAACUGGGAGGAGUCAGAGGUAUGCUGGGGGGAGCGGUAAAAUGCUAUAAUCCUCAGAGGACCACCUGUGGCAAAGGCGUCUGACUAGAACAGAUUCGACAGUGAGGGACGAAAGCUAGGGGAGCGAUCCGGAUUAGAUACCCCGGUAGUC
rnacentral:rRNA from 1 species